rnacentral:rRNA from 1 species
GGGCCCGCACAAGCGGUGGAGCAUGUGGUUUAAUUCGAUGCAACGCGAAGAACCUUACCAGGGUUUGACAUAGUACGAAGUUUUUUGAAAAAAACCACCUUCGGGAACGUACAUACAGGUGGUGCAUGGCUGUCGUCAGCUCGUGUCGUGAGAUGUUGGGUUAAGUCCCGCAACGAGCGUAACCCUUGUUUUUAGUUAUUUUUCUAGAAAGACUGCCGGUUAUAAGCCGGAGGAAGGCGGGGACGACGUCAAGUCAGCAUGCCCCUUACACCCUGGGCUACACACGUGCUACAUUGGGUAAGACAAUGAGUCGCGAGCCUGUGAAGGUCAGCAAAUCUAAAAACUUACUCUAAGUUCAGAUUGUAGGCUGUAACUCGCCUACAUGAAGUUGGAAUC